rnacentral:sRNA from 1 species
ACUCAACGCUAUACAAUUAAAAAGGAUGAGUCUUGGUUAGUAAAGCAUGCCGAUUUUAUUCGGAUCCUUGAUCAGCCAGUUAGUCCUAAACCUGUUUUUCAGGAGUUU